UACGUAGGGACCAAGCGUUGUUCGGAUUUACUGGGCGUAAAGGGCGCGUAGGCGGCGCGGUAAGUCACUUGUGAAAUCUCUGAGCUUAACUCAGAACGGCCAAGUGAUACUGCAGUGCUAGAGUGUGGAAGGGGCAAUCGGAAUUCUUGGUGUAGCGGUGAAAUGCGUAGAUAUCAAGAGGAACACCUGAGGUGAAGACGGGUUGCUGGGCCAACACUGACGCUGGAUGCGCGAAAGCUAGGGGAGCGAACGGG
rnacentral:rRNA from 1 species